rfam:Oryza glumipatula chromosome 4, whole genome shotgun sequence.
GAAAAGACAAAUCCUGGUUUCCGUGCCCAAUGUUUGACCGUCCGUCUUAUUUGAAAAAAUUAUAAAAAAAUUAAAAAGACAAGUCACGCAUAAAAUAUUAAUCAUAUUUUAUCAUCUAACAACAAUGAAAAUACGAAUUAUAAAAUUUUUUUAUAUAAGACGGACAGUCAAAGUUAGACACGGAAAUUAAGGGUUUGUCUUUUU